AUUGAACGCUGGCGGCAGGCCUAACACAUGCAAGUCGAGCGAGCGGCGGACGGGUGAGUAAUGCCUGGGAAUUGCCCAGUCGAGGGGGAUAACAGUUGGAAACGAUUGCUAAUACCGCAUACGAUUGGAUUGCCUAGGUGGGAUUAGCUAGUUGGUGAGGUAAUGGCUCACCAAGGCGACGAUCCCUAGCGGGUCUGAGUGGAUGAUCAGCCACACUGGAACUAGGACACGGUCCAGAUUCCUACGGGGGGCGGCAGGGGGGAUUAUUGCACAAUGGGGGAAACCCUGAUGCAGCCAUGCCGCGUGUGUGAAGAAGGCCGUCGGGUUGUAAAGCACUUUCAGCGAGGAGGCGUUACUCGCAGAAGAAGCAACGGCUAACUCCGUGCCAGCAGCCGCGGUAAUUC
rnacentral:rRNA from 1 species